rnacentral:tRNA from 1 species
GUUCUUUUAGUAUUAAUUAGUACAGCCGACUUCCAAUCAGCUAGCCCCGGUAAGAUCUGGGAAAGAAUA